rnacentral:rRNA from 1 species
AGGGUUUGAUUAUGGCUCAGGAUGAACGCUGGCGGCGCGCCUAACACAUGCAAGUCGAACGGCACCCCCCUCCGGGGGGAAGCGAGUGGCGAACGGCUGAGUAACACGUGACCAACCUGCCCCCCGCACGGGGACAGCCGCGGGAAACCGCGGGUGAUACCCGGUGGCCCCGCGGGGACGCAUGUCCCCGCGGGCAUAGCUCCGGCGGCGGGGGAUGGGGUCGCGGCCCAUCAGGUAGACGGCGGGGUGACGGCCCACCGUGCCGACAACGGGUAGCCGGGUUGAGAGACCGACCGGCCAGAUUGGGACUGAGACACGGCCCAG